UACGUAGGGGGCAAGCGUUGUCCGGAUUUAUUGGGCGUAAAGAGCGUGUAGGCGGUUGGGUAGGUCCGUUGUGAAAACUCGAGGCUCAACCUCGGGACGCCGAUGGAAACCCCCCAGCUAGAGUCCGGAAGAGGAGAGUGGAAUUCCUGGUGUAGCGGUGAAAUGCGCAGAUAUCAGGAAGAACACCCGUGGCUAAGGCGGCUCUCUAGUACGGUACUGACGCUGAGACGCGAAAGCGUGGGGAGCGAACAGG
rnacentral:rRNA from 1 species